rnacentral:ribozyme from 1 species
ACAUCAUCCACAUGCUCCAAUAAAGAAAAAGAAUCAUCCAUCACCAUGUCCUCCUCUUCUUCUUCUUACCAACACAAGGAAAAGAUAACAAUCUUUCCAUCCUCCUCCUCGUCCUCCUCCCAAACAACAACACAUGUUCGAAUGGAAAGUUACACCACUCUUAGGCUAUCAUCAUCUUCUUCUUCUUCUACAAAAGAAACAACAACACCCUUUCCAUCUCUCAUUCAAGAUUUAAUACUUCAAUACAAAACAAAU